rnacentral:lncRNA from 1 species
AAGCUGACUCGGUGAGCUCCAAGCUGCGGGCUGGGGACGAGGUGGUGCACAUCAACGAGGUUGUGUUGAGCAGCUCCAGGAGGGAGGCCGUUUCCCUGGUGAAAGGAUCCUACAAGACCCUCAGGCUGCUGGUACGCAGGUUCCGAGCAGAGGUGCCUGGGUGGUGUCAAACACCUGUGUCUUAGCUCUGGCCUUCCUGGGGCUGGUGCCCGUGGCUUCUUUCCGUGCCAGAAUCGUGCCUCUAGGUCACCUUCCCCCAAGCCACUGAGCCCCCUUGGCAGGCCAGCAUGGCCCAGUGUCAUGCUGGACAGAGGUGUUCAACAGAUAACUGAGGACAACGGACCUGCCGGCCUAGACGUCCUUAAGGUAAGUCCAUUUUAAACCAGAUAUUUCUUGACAUUAUUUCUACAUUGAUCUUGACAGAAAUGCCAGUAUUGGGAAGGUAAAUGAAAGAGACAGGGUCAUUGUUUAGUUUAGACCUCUAUGGUGAAAUCACUAUGUUAUUCGGCUGUCAGAUGCGUUGGCAAAGUGAUCCGAAGGCAUAAAUAAAGAUCUAAAUGGGGAGAGGGGGUACUCGACAAGUUGUUGUGACCCUUGCAGGCAGUUGACAUCUCACUGUGCACUCCUUCCUAUUUGAUGAGAAGCCCAAGUGAUGAUAGAAUAAAGUAACUUUUAAUUAAGGCCAGCAAAUACACAUGCCAGCUCAUACAAUAAGAUAAAGUCAGUUUGAGUAUCUUGGCUCCUUUCAAUUAUGCAACCCCAGAAUUUAUAAUCUGAUUCUAAUUACCACUUAUUUUUAAGCCUGUCUUUAACUUUUCCUUUUGCGAUAACAAAAGCAGUUUUUCUUUCUAAGGUUUGUUCAACAAGGUAGAAUUAGUGAAUUUCACUUCCGUGAGGGGUUUGAUUGUAUUGCUUGGCUCUCUUCGCCCAUCCUGAUGUUUGAGAAAAAGGCAGUUUCUAAAUUCAAGCACCUAAAUUCGAGCAACAGUGACAUGCUUACGUAUAUUAAGGUCUGUUCUGAUUUCAUUUGCCUUGUAAGUUGAUUGACAGAUACUUCAGGGACCAUCCUGUCUCCCCUCUUGGGCAGCUAUCAGCAUACAUGUAAUAAUGCUCGGGUUUACUAAUUCAAGGUUGGCAAAAAGACUAGUGGCUUGGGACUAGUGUUUACCCCCUGGCCUGUUUUGUUGUGAUAGGGAGGAAGUGAUUUUCCCUUUGAUUUUGAUAUUUUUAAUAAGAAAUUUCUACAAGUGGG